rnacentral:rRNA from 1 species
UGAGUGCUAAAAGAAUGGAUUUUCAAAAAAACUCUUUUUUAAAUUUAAAAAUUGAAGUUAUUUUUAUUUGUGAAGAAACAAUAAUGAAAAUUAAGGACAAGAAGACCCUAAGAAUUUUCAUAAAUAUAUUAAUAAUAGAUAUUAAUGUAUUUAUUUAAUUGGGGCGAUUAAUGAAUAUUUUUAACUUCAAGUGAAUAUUAACAUGAUCCAUUAAUAAUGAUUAUAUGCAAUAAAUACUCUAGGGAUAACAGCGUAAUAAUUUUAGAUAGAUCCUAUAGAAAAAAUAGUUUGCGACCUCGAUGUUGGAUUAGGAUUCUUAUUUAAU